UACGUAGGGGGCAAGCGUUGUCCGGAUUUAUUGGGCGUAAAGCGCACGCAGGCGGUCUGCUAAGUUUGGAGUGACAGUUCCUGGCUCAACUGGGAAAGUGCUUCGAAAACUGGCAGACUUGAGGGCUUCAGAGGGACACGGAAUUCCGGGUGGAGUGGUGAAAUGCGUAGAGAUCGGAAAGAACACCAACGGCGAAAGCACUCUGCUGGGCCGACACUGACACUGAGAGACGAAAGCUAGGGGAGCGAAUGGG
rnacentral:rRNA from 1 species